UACGCAGGGGGCUAGCGUUGCUCGGAAUGACUGGGCGUAAAGCGCACGUAGGCGGCUUGUUAAGUCGGAGGUGAAAUCCUGGAGCUCAACUCCAGAACUGCCUUCGAUACUGGCGAGCUUGAGUUCGGGAGAGGUGAGUGGAGCUGCGAGUGUAGAGGUGAAAUUCGUAGAUAUUCGCAAGAACACCAGUGGCGAAGGCGGCUCACUGGCCCGAUACUGACGCUGAGGUGCGAAAGCGUGGGGAGCAAACAGG
rnacentral:rRNA from 1 species